rnacentral:rRNA from 1 species
GAUGAACGCUGGCGGCGUGCCUAAUACAUGCAAGUCGAGCGAACGGACGAGAAGCUUGCUUCUCUGAUGUUAGCGGCGGACGGGUGAGUAACACGUGGAUAACCUACCUAUAAGACUGGGAUAACUUCGGGAAACCGGAGCUAAUACCGGAUAAUAUUUUGAACCGCAUGGUUCAAAAGUGAAAGACGGUCUUGCUGUCACUUAUAGAUGGAUCCGCGCUGCAUUAGCUAGUUGGUAAGGUAACGGCUUACCAAGGCAACGAUGCAUAGCCGACCUGAGAGGGUGAUCGGCCACACUGGAACUGAGACACGGUCCAGACUCCUACGGGAGGCAGCAGUAGGGAAUCUUCCGCAAUGGGCGAAAGCCUGACGGAGCAACGCCGCGUGAGUGAUGAAGGUCUUCGGAUCGUAAAACUCUGUUAUUAGGGAAGAACAUAUGUGUAAGUAACUGUGCACAUCUUGACGGUACCUAAUCAGAAAGCCACGGCUAACUACGUGCCAGCAGCCGCGGUAAUACGUAGGUGGCAAGCGUUAUCCGGAAUUAUUGGGCGUAAAGCGCGCGUAGGCGGUUUUUUAAGUCUGAUGUGAAAGCCCACGGCUCAACCGUGGAGGGUCAUUGGAAACUGGAAAACUUGAGUGCAGAAGAGGAAAGUGGAAUUCCAUGUGUAGCGGUGAAAUGCGCAGAGAUAUGGAGGAACACCAGUGGCGAAGGCGACUUUCUGGUCUGUAACUGACGCUGAUGUGCGAAAGCGUGGGGAUCAAACAGGAUUAGAUACCCUGGUAGUCCACGCCGUAAACGAUGAGUGCUAAGUGUUAGGGGGUUUCCGCCCCUUAGUGCUGCAGCUAACGCAUUAAGCACUCCGCCUGGGGAGUACGACCGCAAGGUUGAAACUCAAAGGAAUUGACGGGGACCCGCACAAGCGGUGGAGCAUGUGGUUUAAUUCGAAGCAACGCGAAGAACCUUACCAAAUCUUGACAUCCUUUGACAACUCUAGAGAUAGAGCCUUCCCCUUCGGGGGACAAAGUGACAGGUGGUGCAUGGUUGUCGUCAGCUCGUGUCGUGAGAUGUUGGGUUAAGUCCCGCAACGAGCGCAACCCUUAAGCUUAGUUGCCAUCAUUAAGUUGGGCACUCUAAGUUGACUGCCGGUGACAAACCGGAGGAAGGUGGGGAUGACGUCAAAUCAUCAUGCCCCUUAUGAUUUGGGCUACGCACGUGCUACAAUGGACAAUACAAAGGGCAGCGAAACCGCGAGGUCAAGCAAAUCCCAUAAAGUUGUUCUCAGUUCGGAUUGUAGUCUGCAACCCGACUACAUGAAGCUGGAAUCGCUAGUAAUCGUAGAUCAGCAUGCUACGGUGAAUACGUUCCCGGGUCU